rnacentral:rRNA from 1 species
UACAGAGAGUGCAAACGUUGUUCGGAAUUACUGGGCGUAAAGUGUGCGCAGGCGGCCGCGCAAGUCGAGUGUGAAAGCCCCGAGCUUAACUUGGAAAUUGCGCUCGAAACUACGUGGCUGGAGUGUGGCAGAGGAAGGUGGAAUUCCAGGUGUAGCGGUGAAAUGCGUAGAGAUCUGGAGGAACACCGAUGGCGAAGGCAGCCUUCUGGGCCAAUACUGACGCUCAUGCACGAAAGCGUGGGGAGCAAACAGG